rnacentral:lncRNA from 1 species
CCUUUUGAGAAAGGCAUGUGUGUGAGACAGCAAGCAAGCUGGAUUUUGGUGGGUCUCGAUUUUCUUGGAUGCUGUAAGUCAUUUUCCUUUCUUGGGUCUCUUGUCUUCUCGUUCCUUUAUACAUUUUUUCCUUUGAUUUAUAAUUCACUAUUGAUGUGUGUGUCGUUUACCCGUCAUGUUUUGAUGGUUGAAUAGUUUAGAGGAAUUAUUUUUUUAUUCGUUUGGAUCUUUUGGUUAUGUAUCCACCGAGGAGGUCGCUUCACGCAGUUUCAAAUUGAAUUCGAUGGACAGCGGUAGCUGCCAAAGGUGAGAGCGUUACUGGCGGUGGUGAGCGGCAUGGCAGCAUUGGUGCUUCUCCAUGUUAUUGUUCAAGAUCAUGACAAUCUUUUUCUAGCCUCCGAGGUUGUUCACUCCAUCAGAAUUUCGGUUCUUAUAGACAAGCUCAUGAAGGAGAAAACUUGUGUUGGUACUAUACCUUUUUUUUCACCUUUAUACAUUGUGACUUGUUAAAUAUUUACACUGGCUUUUUUGGAGGAUAUAUGUUGUGACUUGUUAAUUAUCUACACGGACUUUUUUGGAGGAUAAGGAAAAGAUCUUCUCUUUAUGAACCCCAUAAUGAAGAGAAAAUCCAGUGAAC